AAGGCCCUUCGGGGUACUCGAGUGGCGAACGGGUGAGUAACACGUGGGUGAUCUGCCCUGCACUUUGGGAUAAGCCUGGGAAACUGGGUCUAAUACCGAAUAUGAUCAUCGGCUUCAUGGUCGGUGGUGGAAAGCUUUUGCGGUGUGGGAUGGGCCCGCGGCCUAUCAGCUUGUUGGUGGGGUAAUGGCCUACCAAGGCGACGACGGGUAGCCGGCCUGAGAGGGUGACCGGCCACACUGGGACUGAGAUACGGCCCAGACUCCUACGGGAGGCAGCAGUGGGGAAUAUUGCACAAUGGGCGCAAGCCUGAUGCAGCGACGCCGCGUGAGGGAUGACGGCCUUCGGGUUGUAAACCUCUUUCAGCACAGACGAAGCGCAAGUGACGGUAUGUGCAGAAGAAGGACCGGCCAACUACGUGCCAGCAGCCGCGGUAAUACGUAGGGUCCGAGCGUUGUCCGGAAUUACUGGGCGUAAAGAGCUCGUAGGUGGUUUGUCGCGUUGUUCGUGAAAACUCACAGCUUAACUGUGGGCGUGCGGGCGAUACGGGCAGACUAGAGUACUGCAGGGGAGACUGGAAUUCCUGGUGUAGCGGUGGAAUGCGCAGAUAUCAGGAGGAACACCGGUGGCGAAGGCGGGUCUCUGGGCAGUAACUGACGCUGAGGAGCGAAAGCGUGGGGAGCGAACAGGAUUAGAUACCCUGGUAGUCCACGCCGUAAACGGUGGGUACUAGGUGUGGGUUUCCUUCCUUGGGAUCCGUGCCGUAGCUAACGCAUUAAGUACCCCGCCUGGGGAGUACGGCCGCAAGGCUAAAACUCAAAGGAAUUGACGGGGGCCCGCACAAGCGGCGGAGCAUGUGGAUUAAUUCGAUGCAACGCG
rnacentral:rRNA from 1 species